ensembl:snRNA U6 U6 spliceosomal RNA
AGCAGCACACAUACUAUUAAUAAAAUUUGAAACAAUACAGAGAAGAUUAGCAUGGCCCCUGCACAAGGAUAACAUGCAAAUUCAUGAAGCAUUCCAUAUUUUU